rnacentral:rRNA from 1 species
UACGUAGGGUGCGAGCGUCAAUCGGAAUUACUGGGCGUAAAGCGUGCGCAGGCGGCUUUGCAAGACAGAUGUGAAAUCCCCGGGCUCAACCUGGGAACUGCAUUUGUGACUGCAAGGCUAGAGUACGGCAGAGGGGGAUGGAAUUCCGCGUGUAGCAGUGAAAUGCGUAGAUAUGCGGAGGAACACCAAUGGCGAAGGCAAUCCCCUGGGCCUGUACUGACGCUCAUGCACGAAAGCGUGGGGAGCAAACAGG